UUAACACUGAGUACCUAAACCAUGGGUUUUGGAUUAAUUGGAAUUUUCAUUCUUUCUAUUUUGCAAGGUGUCCAUUGUGAUAUUCAGCUGGUGGAGUCUGGGGGAGAUGUGAGACAGCCUGGAGGAUCCCUGAAACUCUCCUGCAAAGCCUCUGGAUUCACCUUCAGCAGCUAUUACAUGAGUUGGGUUCGCCAGGCUCCAGGGAAGGGGCUGGAGUGGAUCUCAGAAAUUAGUAAUAGUGCAGGUAGCACAUACUAUGCAGACUCUGUGAAAGGGCGAUUCACCAUCUCCAGGGACAAUGGCAACAGCCUGCUGCACCUGCAGAUGAAUUCCCUGAAAGCUGAGGACACAGCCAUGUAUUACUGUGCAAGAGACACAUGUGUCUCUGCUGCUGAUCUCCUGACUCCAGACCCGAACUCCAUUCCUGCCGUACUACAAGCCUGCCAGCGUUCCAGUCCCUGUGAUCUCCGAGCCGCUUUUCCUGCAGCUGGUGCUGCUAGUUCUGCUAAGUCCUAG